rnacentral:tRNA from 1 species
GCGGCCGUGGCGGAAUUGGUAGACGCACCAGGUUUAGGUCCUGGCGCUGCGAGGCGUGAAGGUUCGAGUCCUUUCGGCCGCACCA